rnacentral:lncRNA from 1 species
GAGCGACGCCUGCACCGCUUCGGCCGCAGAGAAGGCGAGCAGCGAGCCCUCCUUGGCCAAGAAGGCUUUGCCGUCUUCCGCAUCCGCUUGGAGCGCCUCGGCUUUGUCGAAGUUGCCGCCUCCGGGCAGUGGCUGUGGAGCGAACUUGCGGGCAGCCGCCGCCUCUUGGUGCUGGGGCGACGCAGAGAAGCCGCCGGGCAGAGUGGCCAUGAGCGUGGAGCGGGCGCUGCAUCAUCAUCAGCGACGGCGGGAACGCUGCGCUCAUAGACGCGUUCGGGAGAAGCCAGGGAGAGACGAAAAGUCCCCGUGUCCCGCCGCCGCCUGGAAGCCCUCCGGACGCUAGGAGUACCACCGGGAACUCCGGGCAGGGGCCGAGCGGUGCCCAGAGCGCAGACGCCGCCGCCGCCCCUCAGUGCAGGACCCGCAGCAUACCCGGCCUGCACGGGUGCAGCCACCGAGCGCGAUGAGGCCGUGCGCCCGGGAUGGAGAGGGCGCCGGGGACCUAGCGUUCGCCGGAACCGCUCCCGGCUGCUAGCCCGUCGGAACGCGCGCGCUUCGCGUCUGCAGGUCUCGGCCCAGCUACCAGCAGUGCGUGCGUCCGUCUGUCCGUCCCACAGUCCGUCGUCUCCCAGGGGCGGCUGGGGAGCGCGCGAAGCCGGCGCACUUGUCUCUGGCGGGCGCCGCCAGCACCUUUAAAUCGCGCUCCUCUUUCUCAUUCACAUUUUGCCAGCUGCCCAGCGGAGCUCGUGUCACGUGGGACCGAGCACCAACUCCUAUUUGCUAUUCAGGGGAAGGCGGGGCGAAAUUAGGGCUCCGCCCCUUCACCCAGGCGGGCCGCAAACUGGCUAUGGGCGCCACGGUUGGAGUGUGCUGGCCUGGGAGCUGGAGCCUUUGCACCGCGCGGAGCAAACUUAAGAGGGACCCUUGCUACUUACCGGACUCAGACCCUAGAGUCCCUGGCAUCCCUGUGGAGGCCUCAUGAGAGGCGGCUUGGAACUGGCACCUGCCACCGAUGGGCCGGGAGUGUUUUACUUAUGGUUGCUACAGCAGAACCCUGUGUGAUGCUCACCUUAACCAGGGGCGCUCUGGUUGUGCCAAGGGUCCGGGCAAGGUCUCCGGAUUGCGUUUAAGGUCUUGCCUCUGCAGGUCUGCUCCCAGAGGUGCGCCUGGGCCUGUCAGCCCUUGCUCACACGACACGGAAGCUGCAUGGUUGCUUGCGGCCCGCUGGUGGCAGCGGGGCGGCCGGCGGUGGUCUCCCUCAUUCCUGGUUGGGCCCUCCGUGAGCGAUCCCUGCUCAUUUUUCAUGACAUUCUUAAUCAUCGCACCUAUUUACCCACUUUGCCAGCGUACACCAAAAUAACAGCCACGAUAAUUAUG